AGAGUUUGAUCCUGGCUCAGGAUGAACGCUAGCGACAGGCUUAACACAUGCAAGUCGAGGGGCAGCGGGGGAGUAGCAAUACUCCCGCCGGCGACCGGCGCACGGGUGAGUAACACGUAUGAAACCUGCCCGUAGCAGGGGGAUAAGCGGAAGAAAUUCCGUCUAAUACCGCGUAACAACCCUUGGAGGCAUCUCCUCGGGUUUAAAGGAAGCGAUUCCGGCUACGGAUGGUCAUGCGUCGCAUUAGCUAGUUGGCGGGGUAACGGCCCACCAAGGCGACGAUGCGUAGGGGUUCUGAGAGGAAGGUCCCCCACACUGGUACUGAGACACGGACCAGACUCCUACGGGAGGCAGCAGUGAGGAAUAUUGGUCAAUGGCCGCAGGGCUGAACCAGCCAAGUCGCGUGAGGGAUGACGGUCCUAUGGAUUGUAAACCUCUUUUGUCAGGGAGCAAAGGGCGUCACGUGUGGCGUUUUGCGAGUACCUGAAGAAAAAGCAUCGGCUAACUCCGUGCCGGCAGCCGCGGUAAUACGGAGGAUGCGAGCGUUAUCCGGAUUUAUUGGGUUUAAAGGGUGCGCAGGCGGAAUGUCAAGUCAGCGGUAAAAUUUCGGGGCUCAACCCCGUCGUGCCGUUGAAACUGGCGUUCUUGAGUGAGCGAGAAGUAUGCGGAAUGCGUGGUGUAGCGGUGAAAUGCAUAGAUAUCACGCAGAACUCCGAUUGCGAAGGCAGCAUACCGGCGCUCAACUGACGCUCAUGCACGAAAGCGUGGGUAUCGAACAGGAUUAGAUACCCUGGUAGUCCACGCAGUAAACGAUGAAUACUAACUGUCCGGGCAGAAUGAUGUCUGGGUGGUACAGCGAAAGCGUUAAGUAUUCCACCUGGGGAGUACGCCGGCAACGGUGAAACUCAAAGGAAUUGACGGGGGCCCGCACAAGCGGAGGAACAUGUGGUUUAAUUCGAUGAUACGCGAGGAACCUUACCCGGGCUCAAACGACUCAGGAAUAUAUUGGAAACGAUGUAGCCAGCAAUGGUCUGAGUCGAGGUGCUGCAUGGUUGUCGUCAGCUCGUGCCGUGAGGUGUCGGCUUAAGUGCCAUAACGAGCGCAACCCCUACCGCCAGUUGCCAACGGGUAAAGCCGGGAACUCUGGCGGGACUGCCGGCGCAAGCUGCGAGGAAGGCGGGGAUGACGUCAAAUCAGCACGGCCCUUACGUCCGGGGCGACACACGUGUUACAAUGGCAGGUACAGCGGGAAGCCACCUGGUGACAGGGAGCGGAACCCGAAAGCCUGUCUCAGUUCGGAUUGGAGUCUGCAACUCGACUCCAUGAAGCUGGAUUCGCUAGUAAUCGCGCAUCAGCCAUGGCGCGGUGAAUACGUUCCCGGGCCUUGCACACACCGCCCGUCA
rnacentral:rRNA from 1 species